rnacentral:sRNA from 1 species
UAUAGCUAUACAAAAAAAGAUCUGACAAUAUAUUUUUCGGGGAAUCAUUAAGAUUUGCAUAGUCGUUAUUAGAGAUUAAAUAACAUUAUUAUAAGCGACACACAAAAAAUAAGAUGUUGAUAAGUCUGAGGAUCUGGCUCUGGCUAUAUAUAGACGUUGUGAUUUUGAUUGGCUAUGCCAGCCAAGCAGAAAGACAGGUCAGACACGAGCACACCCUUCUGUAAUUCAAAAUCAGUAUACCCUCUAUGCACACUUUCGAUGGGCAUUAAAACCGGCAGCAUUAACAACAAAAACCACCGUGAUUCAAGGGAAAAACACCGUCAGAAUUGAGUUCAGAACUAGUGCGAAGUAUAAAUUUGAGUUUACUUUCGACCCAAAACAGGCUACAUUUGCCUUUAGUUGACUUUACCG